rnacentral:tRNA from 1 species
GCAACGCUGGAUAGCUCAGUUGGUUAGAGUGUGGUGCUGAUAACACCAAGUUUGCAGGUUCGAUCCUGGUAUGGGAUGGCUGCA